rnacentral:rRNA from 3 species
ACUCCUACGGGAGGCAGCAGUGGGGAAUAUUGCACAAUGGGCGCAAGCCUGAUGCAGCCAUGCCGCGUGUAUGAAGAAGGCCUUCGGGUUGUAAAGUACUUUCAGCGGGGAGGAAGGGAGUAAAGUUAAUACCUUUGCUCAUUGACGUUACCCGCAGAAGAAGCACCGGCUAACUCCGUGCCAGCAGCCGCGGUAAUAC